UCGAGCGCGCCCUUUCGGGGGUGAGCGGCGGACGGGUGAGUAACGCGUGGGAACGUGCCCUUUUCUGCGGAAUAGCCUCGGGAAACUGAGAGUAAUACCGCAUACGCCCUUUGGGGGAAAGAUUUAUCGGAGAAGGAUCGGCCCGCGUUGGAUUAGGUAGUUGGUGGGGUAAUGGCUCACCAAGCCGACGAUCCAUAGCUGGUUUGAGAGGAUGAUCAGCCACACUGGGACUGAGACACGGCCCAGACUCCUACGGGAGGCAGCAGGU
rnacentral:rRNA from 1 species